rnacentral:rRNA from 1 species
UACAGAGGGUGCGAGCGUUAAUCGGAAUUACUGGGCGUAAAGCGUGCGUAGACGGUUAUUUAAGUCGGGUGUGAAAGCCCCCGGGCUCAACCUGGGAAUUGCAUUCGAGACUGAAUAGCUAGGGUACGGUAGAGGGAAGCGGAAUUUCCGGUGUAGCGGUGAAAUGCGUAGAUAUCGGAAGGAACAUCAGUGGCGAAGGCGGAUCUCUGGGCCAUUACUGACGCUGAGGAGCGAAAGCGUGGGGAGCGAACAGG